CGAUUAUGUGCCUCUGUAAUCCUUUACACCACCGCCCACGGGAUAGGUAUGGGGUGCAUAAUAAAGAAAGAAAUUGAAUUGAUGACCACCAAGCACCUUUACGUGUAAUUUUGUCACCCCCUGCAGGUGUAGAUGUGAGGAUGGAGGUGAAUGAAGAGAGUUUACACUUCUACUGCCCACCCACCCUCGACUAAUACGGCACUUCACCUCAUCUUACAUGGAAGCCAACCAGAAGCUUCGUCAGCAUCAUUGUCUUGGCUGACCAAUGAGAGCUGUCCUCCAGAAGCUGGUCAGCAGAUAGCGCCAACACAGCCCCAGAGUGAUGUGUCAGAAGAAGCAGAAAACUCCAAAGAAAGUGGUGAAGCUUCAGAGUCUCCACCACCAGAAGAAGCCAAACCACCACCUCCAAAAAAGAAGAAAAAGAAAAAAAGGAAGAAACACAAAUCUCACAAAAAUGACUCCAAUGUUGAAGAAUCUAGUGAUGAGGUAAACAGGCCGAGAAAGAAACACAAAGACAAAAAACUUCGAAAUACCGUUACCAAUAAACGUUCAUCUGAGUCUCGAACAAGGUCUACUUCUCCACAGCGAACCAUAGAUAAAAGAGCAAGAUUGAGGUCACAUUCCAGAUCAGGAUCACGGGCAGGAUAUAUAGAGCCCAGAAAAAUGAAUUCUCGAAAUAGAUCAAAAUCACGAACUAAAAGAUCAAAGUCAAGAUCCAAAAGGUCCAGGUCAUGGUCAAGAAAGAGAAGGUCUAUAUCAGGGCCAAGAAGCAGAAGGUCUGAUUCGUGGUCAAGAAAUAGAAGGUCCGUAUCAGGCCCAAGAAGCAGAAGAUCCCGGUCAUGGUCGAGAAAUAGAAGGCCGAAGUCAAGGUCAAGAAGCAGAAGAUCCAGGUCAUGGUCGAGAAAUAGAAGGUCUAAGUCAGGGUCAAGAAGCAAAAGAUCCAGGUCAUGGUCAAGAAAUAGAAAGUCCAAAUCAAGGUCAAGAAGCAGAAGGUCCAAGUCUCGGUCAAGAAGCAGAAGGUCCAAGUCAAGGUCAAGAAGCAGAAGAUCAAGAUUGAGAAGGUCUAGAUCAGGAUCGAGAAAAUCUAGUUCCAGGUCAAGAUCAAGAAUAAAAAGAUUUAGUCCAAGGUCAAAAUUGAGAAGAUCCAGGUCAGGCUCAAAGAAAAGAAGAGGCAAUAGACUGCCACAGUCACGUUUUAGAAAAAGUAGAUCAAGAUCUUAUUCACCAUAUGUAUCAAAGAGACGAUGGAAAUCGAAGUCACGAUCACGGUCGAGAGAACACGUAAGACGUAAGAAUAAGGAUAAGAAACCCAAAGAAAGUGAAGAGAAUUACUUUCAGUCAGAAAAGAUAGUAUCAAAUAGCAAGAGCAUCUUCCUUGAGGGUCUUCGUGGAUUGGUAAAACCUGAAGAAGCCUUCUUUAUCAGCCAAGAUGGUGACAGAAACAAUACUUUAUUUCCAACGACGCAUUACUCUCAGUUGGCAAGUUACAAGCUCAGGAUCAAAGGAGCUCUUGGAAGUAGUUCUUCAAAGAAAGAAACUGUCAAGUCUAAAAACAAGACACUUAGAUACUUCAAGAGAAUUGCUCUGAGAAUGCUGUACUCUGAUGCAGAAAACAUUAUACUGCUGCCCAAGGAGAGCACUGAAGCCAAAGAAAAGGAACAUGGUUAUAUUCCAUUAGGACUAACAUAUGCAGAGGAAGCCAAGCUGAAGAAUGCUGGCCAGCAGUCAGAAGUUAAUCCAUUGGGAAUAUAUGAUAGUGCAACCGAGCAUUAUUUAUUGGGGAUAGGAACAGGCAAACAAGAGGAAAGUCAGAGCAGCCACAAAAUUGAAUAUGAGUACUGGCACAAGAAGGCUAAGUUAUACAAUGAGAGGCUUGGUAAAGAACCAAGUAAUAUUCCUUUGUGGUUAGAAUUUGUUAGAUUUCAAGAUGAUGCAUAUAUUUAUCUAUUUCAGGGUACAGAUUCCAAUAAUAAAGAUAGCAAAAAGAAGCACAAGAGAAAUCUGAAAGCUUUAGCCGAGAGAAAGAUUUCUAUAUUAGAUAGUGCCAUAAAGAAGAACUUUAGGUCUGUAGAGUUGCAAUUUCAGCGUCUAGAAAUUGGAAAAGACAUUUGGGACGACAAAAAACUCAAACAGGAAUGGGGUACACUGAUUUUCAACUUCCCCAAUAAAAUAAAAGUAUGGCAUCAAUAUCUAAUAUUUAUGAAGACUCACUUCACCUCCUUUAAUUUGUCAGCAGUUGUUCAAACAUUUGCCAAGUGCACUGAAAGAUUACAGCAAAUGCACAGUGGUGUGUUCCUGACUCAUUCGCCGCCACCUGAUCUUGGCAAGUGCUUAGUAGACAUAGCCGUUCAACUUGCACAUGUUUGGCGACAAGGUGGUUACAUGGAAAGAUCAAUUGCUCUGUGCCAGGCCCUUGUUGAGUUAAAUCUUUAUAGCCCAAAGUAUUUGUGUACCAAAGACACUCCAGUCGAAGCAAAAAUUGCAGUUUUUGAGGCUUUCUGGGAUUCACGAGCACCAAGAUUUGGUGAAGAGAAAGCUAUUGGAUGGGGUCAGGUCAUGGAAAGGAAGCAGAAAGUGGAAUUUCCAGAAGUUAUAUUAAGUGGAACACAAGACGAAGAAGAUGACAUCAUAGCCCAAGGAGGGACAACGUCACGGUUGUGGUUAGCCCUCGAGACAUCACGAGAAAGACAUCAUUGGAUGCCUUGGGAGCAGGAUCCAGAGGACUGUGAAGACCCAGAGAGGAUGGUUCCUUUUGAAGAACUCUCACCACAUCUCUUUAUUUUGGACACUGUUGAGGAGCGUUUUUAUCUUAUUCUUCAGUUUCUUAAAUUUUUUGGUGUACCUGAUACUAAAAGUGUCCUGUUACAUAGGUCAACAGUAAACAAAGGUCAAAAGAUUAAUAAGAAUGAAAGAAAAAGUGCAAGCAGUAGUGAUAAUGCUUUUGAGCCACAAAUUAUUGAAACUUUGUAUGAUAUAGAUUUGUUUGGCCUGCAUUUUCAGUUCAGAAAAGCAGAUAAAAAUUGUGAGAUUCUGAAUUUUGAUACUGUUGGGCCAUCUUUAUUAAACACUUCGUGUGAGAAGUAUUACGAAUUUUUGUGCCGGCUGCUUCAGCAGGCAUCGGAUGUAUUUGAACAAUCGUAUAGAAAUAAAUUAACGGUUUUGUACAUAAAGUUCUUGAGUGAACAAUAUUUAAUUAAAAAGAAAAAUAAUUAUGAUAAAGCAAUGCUUAAAAAUUUUGGUAGAGAAUUAAAGAAGCAUAUAAAAAAUACUUUAAAAUUGGAGGAAUUUAGAAUGUACCUACCGGUGUACCAAGAAUAUGGCAAAGUAGAAGAAAAUAUGGGACAUUUUGAUGAAGCUGAGAAUGUGUAUGCAACAGCUUUGACCAUUGGAACGGUCACAGGAAAUGCACUGGAUGUUGCUAAUUUAGAUUUAUCUGCUGUUAUGGACCUUUAUAGUUCCUAUAUUCAUCUUGAAAUGGAUAGAGAGGCAAAACUGUGCAAUGGUAAGCACAGUAAUAAUGUUAUGUAUUCACUCUGUUCAAUUGUCAUUGAUGGGAAAUUUUCUGUUGCCAAUGGAUCUCCUGCACCAGGAGGAAAUGUCCUCAAAACUAAAAAAAAGCUAAAUGAACUACUAGAUUUGUAUAGUAAUUCAAUUACAUUUAAUUCUGACAAUAGUGCUACAAAAGACAAUGAAAAAUUACUGGCAGGCAAACUAGUGAUGUUCCUUGCCAUUUUGGAGUUACUCACUGUUGGCUUUCAAUCUGCUUGUUUAAUUUUUGAAGACAUCUUUGACAAAAUCAAUGGCAUUUGUAAAGGUCCAGUUCCUCAUAAGUUGGAGGAUAUUUUGUUGCCUUCAGAAUGUGUUGUCAAGACUCCAGACUUACAAGAGAAAAGCAAAAACAAUGUAGCUGAUAAAUUAACAAUUUUGGAGAGUUUAUAUGAAGACUAUGUGUGGUUAAUUGAAGUAUCAUCUCAGCUGGAGCAUCUUGUAAGUGACAGCAGAAUGUCACCAGUGUCCCUGAGGAAAGUUCUCACAGCAGCUGUCAAAGUGGCUCCAGAAAACCAAAGAUUUCUCCUACUCCUUGCUCAGAACCAAAUAACUGAUACUGCAGAGUUGGCGUGAUCUUCUUGGGGGCUUGGAGAUGCACUCUCAGAGAAGUUCGUCUAUUGUGGUGUUGGUGUCUCAGAUCUUGCCACACAUCCAGAGAACCAUCACACUCAUUGCUAACACAGAUGAAGGUUCUCUGAGCUGUGGUCACCGC
rnacentral:misc_RNA from 1 species